CUGAAUUAAAGGGUCACAGCAUUACAAAGGCUGAGAACCACUGCUUUAGGAAAUUGAGAACCCGGGGGCUGUGGGGCAGCGAUGAGAAGAUACAGAAGCAGAAGAGAGACUGGCAGGGAAGAAGCUCCAGCAGGAGAAGAGUCCGUGAUGGGGGAGUGAAGGAGUGGUGAAUAGAGCAACAGCCGAGGGCUCAUAUCUUGAACCUCAAGCACAAGGUAGAGGCAGCAUUCUAGGAUGCGUGGCUUUGACUUCAAAGCCCACCCCCAGGGACCAACUUCCUCCAGCUAAGCCACACCUCUCAAGCCUUCCCAAAUUGUGCCACCAACUGAAGGUCAAGUAUUCAAAUUCCAGUGCCUAUGAGGGACAUCUCAUUCAGAUCACCACACCUUCUCAUGGGGUCUGGUGAGUUAAGAGUCUGUGACUACACUGCACAGGUGAGAAAACUUAGGUGGAGCUUGGCAAAUACAACCAGAGUCAGCAAAUGGUGAAGCUGGAUUUGACAGCUGGCUCACUGCUCAGUUUGCCUCUUAACUAACUACCGUUAAAGGGGCCUCCACCAUUGUUUUUCCCUUCUUCACACAGAUGGAAUGAGACGUGGGCAGAUGGGUACCUGAUUAUUGCACCACUUUUCCCAGCCUCUGUUGCCUUUAGGUCGGGCCCCAGGACCUAGUUCUCUCUGAUGAAUGAGAUGACACUUCCUGCAAGGAAUCAGAAAUUAGAAGAAUUUCUCCCCUAAGAACUCAUUCUUUUCCAAGUUAGCCACAGCUUAGUUGUAGUAGUGAUGUAACUUCAAACAUGUACAUGAGGACAAUAUCCUUCCAUAAUGGCAUAAAUCCAAACUACCCUCUAGUCUUCACUAUCUACCUCCUCAUGUUGCAAGAGAAGCACUCUUUCACCUCCUUUAAGCUUCAGGAUAGCUGUGCCAGCCAUGAUACAGCAUCAAUGCUCCCUGAAAGCUGACUGUGUUAGCCAGUAAUCAAUUGCUUGGCUGGUGGCCAUGGUCUGUACCACACUCUCAAUGCAUAUGAUGAGUACCCUGAUCAAAGGAUAGGAAGCAGAAGACGAAAGUGGGUCACAACAACAAAGAAGAGAUGGGCUUUAAAAGGAACCAAAUUGGAUUUUUAGAAAUAAAAACUGUUGUGACAAAUUGUCAUACACAAAGGUCUUGGAAGAAGAAUUUGCCUCUGAGGCGCUGGGAGAAUAAACAGAUUUCUGUUAGAGUCAGGGACAAAGGGAAGGAGUUUGGUGGCUCCUGCAAUGAGCCUAGGAGGAGAGUGGAGGGACCCACGUAGUGCAGAGGGUGAGGAUCGGGGCUCUUCUGAUUCAGACUCUUUCCAGAAAGCAGGCAGCCAUGUCAAUUUGGCCUGUGUAGAGGGGGUGGGGUUGUCUUACCUGUUGGUCGACAGUGGAGUUCCUCCAAGCUCUAUUGGUUCCAAUGAGUGGUUCUUCUUACGCUUGGUAGUCUGUCUGGAAGAGUCUAGAGCAGCAUCCGAGGACUUUCUGUCUGCCCAGAUUAGUCAGUGCUGCCAUUCUUUCAGUCAGGGCUGACAAGAGAAAAAGAAAAGAUGCCAAGUGACACAGCAAGGGUGAAGGUGGCCUUCAGUGCUCUUUCAAUUGUUCUUUUUCAGGGUUGGGGAAAUGGCUAAGCAGGAGAAGGAAUUUGUUGGCAAGCCUAGGACCUGAAUUUAAUCCUGUGGGCUCAUAAGGUGGAAGGAGCAAUCCAU